rnacentral:rRNA from 1 species
GACGAACGCUGGCGGCGUGCCUAAUACAUGCAAGUCGAACGCACAGUUUAUACCGUAGCUUGCUACACCAUAGACUGUGAGUUGCGAACGGGUGAGUAACGCGUAGGUAACCUGCCUGGUAGCGGGGGAUAACUAUUGGAAACGCUAGCUAAUACCGCAUAAUAUUAAUUAUUGCAUGGUAAUUAAUUGAAAGGUGCAAUUGCACCACUACCAGAUGGACCUGCGUUGUAUUAGCUAGUAGGUGAGGUAACGGCGCACCUAGGCGACGAUACAUAGCCGACCUGAGAGGGGGAUCGGCCACACUGGGACGGAGACACGGCCCAGAGGCAUACGGGAGGCAGCAGUAGGGAAUCGUGGGCAAUGGGCGAAAGUCUGACCGAGCAACGCCGCGUGAGUGAAGAAGGUUUUCGGAUCGUAAAGCUCGGUUGUAAGAGAAGAACGGGUGUGAGAGUGGAAAGUUCACACUGUGACGGUAUCUUACCAGAAAGGAACGGCUAACUACGUG